UACAGAGGUCCCAAGCGUUGUUCGGAUUCACUGGGCGUAAAGGGUGCGCAGGCGGCCAAGUGUGUGAGGCGUGAAAGCCCGGGGCUUAACCUCGGAAUUGCACCUCAAACUACAUGGCUAGAGCAUUGGAGAGGGUAGCAGAAUUCACGGUGUAGCAGUGAAAUGCGUAGAUAUCGUGAGGAAUACCAGAGGCGAAGGCGGCUACCUGGACAAUUGCUGACGCUCAGGCACGAAAGCGUGGGGAGCAAAAGGG
rnacentral:rRNA from 1 species